rnacentral:rRNA from 1 species
AGUGAACGCUGGCGGUAGGCCUAACACAUGCAAGUCGAACGGCAGCACAGUAAGAGCUUGCUCUUACGGGUGGCGAGUGGCGGACGGGUGAGGAAUACAUCGGAAUCUACUUUUUCGUGGGGGAUAACGUAGGGAAACUUACGCUAAUACCGCAUAUGACCUACGGGUGAAAGCAGGGGAUCUUCGGACCUUGAGCGAUUGAAUGAGCCGAUGUCGGAUUAGCUAGUUGGCGGGGUAAAGGCCCACCAAGGCGACGAUCCGUAGCUGGUCUGAGAGGAUGAUCAGCCACACUGGAACUGAGACACGGUCCAGACUCCUACGGGAGGCAGCAGUGGGGAAUAUUGGACAAUGGGCGCAAGCCUGAUCCAGCCAUACCGCGUGGGUGAAGAAGGCCUUCGGGUUGUAAAGCCCUUUUGUUGGGAAAGAAAAGCAGCAGGUUAAUACCCCGCUGUUCUGACGGUACCCAAAGAAUAAGCACCGGCUAACUUCGUG